CCUCUCUAGGUAUCGGAGGACAUUAAUGAAUUCUGAGAGGGGUUGUAGCUGGCCGUUUCGUUUGAGCGGCAUGUGCACGCCCUGAUCAUUAUCCAUCUCACACACCUGUGCACAUACUGUAGGUCGGCUUUUGAUUGGAGUGGGGUCUUCAUCGACUCUGCUUUUUAGUUGGGGCCUUCCUAUGUUUUAUCACACACUACUUCAGUUUAAAGAAUGUCCUCUUGCGUCUAACGCAUUUAAAUACAACUUUCAGCAACGGAUCUCUUGGCUCUCGCAUCGAUGAAGAACGCAGCGAAAUGCGAUAAGUAAUGUGAAUUGCAGAAUUCAGUGAAUCAUCGAAUCUUUGAACGCACCUUGCGCUCCUUGGUAUUCCGAGGAGCAUGCCUGUUUGAGUGUCAUGGAAUUCUCAACUCUAUUUGCUUUUGUGAAUAGAGCUUGGACUUGGAGGUUUAUUGCCGGUACCUGUGAUCGGCUCCUCUUGAAUGCAUUAGCUCGAACCUUUUGUGGAUCAGCUUAUCGGUGUGAUAAAAUGUCUACGCCGUUACUGUGAAGCAUAUUAUUCGGCUUCCAAUCGUCCUUCACGGGACAAUAACUUUGACCUUUGACCUCAAAUCAGGUAGGAUUACCCGCUGAACUUAAGCUACAAAAAGGGGGGGGAAA
rnacentral:rRNA from 1 species